AUGGAUGCGCCCCUGCCUCCGCCUGCUUACGCCGAUGGCGAGCAGACGGACCCGUCCUCAUCGAGAAAUUCGGCUACCUGGUCGACCGCCAAGACGCCACCACCGCCACCUGCGUCCUGCAGGGCCCCGACAUCAAGGGCAGCAUCAAGGUCACAUUUUGCGCCGCCUGCCCUCCGCGCGUCUCCUACUUUUGCGUCCACGCCACCGAGUACGAGCACGCCGACUUCGACCUCCAGCCGACCAUCCUGGCAACGGAGGGCCCUCUCGUCCUCCUCAGCGUCAUGCUCCCCGGUCGAUCCGACAUCUUCCAUCCCGAGAGGAAAGAGUAUUUCGUCUACCAGGCUGCCACCAAGGACCCCGAGGGAAAGGGGAAGAAGGUACAAAGCAAAAGCAUUAACAAAGAGGGAAGACGCUGCUGGGAUCCUCUAG
rnacentral:rRNA from 1 species